rnacentral:rRNA from 1 species
UGGGGAAUAUUGGACAAUGGGGGCAACCCUGAUCCAGCCAUGCCGCGUGUGUGAAGAAGGCCUUCGGGUUGUAAAGCACUUUAAGCGGGGAGGAAGGUUCGCAACUUAAUACGUUGCGGAAUUGACGUUACCCGCAGAAUAAGCACCGGCAAACUCCGUGCCAGCAGCCGCGGUAAUACGGAGGGUGCGAGCGUUGAUCGGAAUUACUGGGCGUAAAGCGCACGUAGGCGGUUUGUUAAGUCGGAUGUGAAAUCCCCGGGCUCAACCUGGGAGCUGCAUUCGAUACUGGCUGACUUGAGUACGAGAGAGGGGGUGGAAUUCCAGGUGUAGCGGUGAAAUGCGUAGAUAUCUGGAGGAACAUCAGUGGCGAAGGCGGCCCCCUGGCUCGAUACUGACGCUGAG